CCAGUGUGUGGAUAGAGUUUAGUGUGUGGGUAGAGUUUAGUGUGUGGGUAGAGUCCAGUGUGUGGGGUAGAGUCCAGUGUGUUGGGUAGAGUCCAGUGUGUUGGGUAGAGUCCAGUGUGUUGGGUAGAGUCCAGUGUGUUGGGUAGAGUCCAGUGUGUGGGUAGAGUCCAGUGUGUGGGUAGAGUCCAGUGUGUGGGUAGAGCCCAGUGUGUGGGGUAGAGUCCAGUGUGUAGGUAGAGUCCAGUGUGUGGGUAGAGUCCAGAGUGUGGGGUAGAGUCCAGAGUGUGGGGUAGAGUCCAGAGUGUGGGGUAGAGUCCAGUGUGUGGGUAGAGUCCAGUGUGUGGGUAGAGUCCAGUGUGUUGGGUCGAGUCCAGUGUGUUGGGUCGAGUCCAGUGUGUUGGGUCGAGUCCAGUGUGCGGGUCGAGUCCAGUGUGCGGGUAGAGUCCAGUGUGCGGUUAGAGUCCAGUGUGCGGGUAGAGUCCAGUGUGCGGGUAGAGUCCAGUGUGCGGGUAGAGUCCAGUGUGCGGGUAGAGUCCAGUGUGCGGUUAGAGUCCAGUGUGCGGGUAGAGUCCAGUGUGUGGGUAUCAGUACAAGAGUUAGUGCAAAAAAGGUCAAUGCAGGUAGUCCGAGUAACCAUUUCAUUAGCUAAUUAGCAGUCUUGUUUAGCGGCCUUAUGGCUUGGGGGUAGAAGCUGUUCAGGGUCCUGCUGGUUUCAGACUUUGUGCACUGGUACCGCUUGCCAUUCAGUAGCAGAGAAAACA
ensembl:lncRNA